ACCACUGCCUGUCUCUGUAAGAUGUAAUAACCAUUUCAAUAUGUCAUUUAUCCAUGUACUCCUAUUAGCUCAAUUACUUUAUUAAAUCUUAAGAUGAAAUGUAUUCCAUAAUAUGCUGUGAGCCUGAGGAAGAAAUGGAAUGAAGGAAUGAUGGGUAAUCUGCUGACCUACUGCGUCAUAACCAGUGGCUGUGAGCUUAUAAAGGACAAGAACAUGCAACCUCCGUGUAACGGUGAGACACAUCAUGUUAAACAUUACCUGCUGAAGGUUUGCAUUGAAUUUACUACUGGCUCAUUUCUGCAGGAAAUGUUUGUGUGAAAACCGUGCAGAAGCUGGGGAGAAAUGCUUCAUUGCCGCAUGGUCUGGAAGCCUGACUUCUCCACUCCAGGGAGGCAGAGAGCGUGGAGCGCGCAUGACUAGCCGGAUGGGAUCGCAACCCAUCACAGGGCACACGCUUAUAGCCCUAAUCAUAUGCUAACAGCAGGUCAGUGACGGCGAUUCAACUAAAGCAAGUGCUGAUGGACUGGGAGUGAAUAUACGCACUCCACAGACGUGGAGCCGGAAUCAAACCAGCAAGCUUGAAGGCAUGUGACCGAUGUGGCACUCCCCAGCGCACAGAGCCCCUCCCCCCCUCCUACUUAUGCAGUGUGAUUAUAACGAACCAGCUGCUGCAGAAAGUUAUAUCUGAAUGGUUGGCCGCCUUCCCUGUUACCUCAUAAUAGCUCUUCGAAUGCUGGCAUCCUACCGAAUCUAAUAACGACUGAGCAGGUAUUGUGAUGAUUUCCACCAGCUUUGAACGGUGCUGGUGACAAAUAUGAUGGACCCUGCUGUGGUCACCUUCCCAAAUCUGAGAGAAGACGACCUGUCGGUUUGAAAAUGUCACCCACCAAGAUGGUGAAUUUCAGCGUUUCAGAAGCGGUGCAGCACGGAGGGUGUGUUUUAAGUGGGUGGAAUAGUGGAGAACCAUACUGAAGACGCAUUGGCUACCACUGAAGCUGUGUAUGGCAAAGGAUUACAUCGCAGUCUCUUUGGGUCCCCAUGCCUCGGUCCUCAGCAUGAGAUGGCAGGUAUUACCGCUCUGGUCCUUGUUGCUUACACACCCUACAUGCCCCCCAGCAUAUCCAUUUAUGACAUGGUCUCAUUUGCCCCCACACUAUUGGCUGGUGAGAAUCACAUGGUACUCCAGAUUACAUUUAAUCUCUGCAGUCAGCGGUGUGUUUUAAAGUCAUUAUUUGGAUAAGAAGUCACCUCUACAGCUUUUCCGGGUGAUAAAUUAGAAGGUGACUCUCAGAGUAGGUGUGCUGCUGUGUUUCGGCACUAGCAUGGUUCCUUCCUGCUGUGAGGUAAGAAUCGUCACUCCACGUUCACCUUUGACUAGCACACUGAUCAGGCAUACCUUGUCAGCAGGGAACUCUUAGGUGCAAAAUUUUUAGGCUUGAUGGUACAUGACUGCCCAAAAAAAACAGGCGUAAUUCCCUGAAAUCACUGCAGCAGUGCUCCGUGGUAAUACCUUAAAAGCAAUCCUCUAAAAUUAUAUGCAUUCAUACACUGUGGCUAAUGGAGUUUAUAUGACCACAACUAACAUGACAAUGAAUGUAAACAUAAGACCGGGUUUAUGGGAAUUUGGGCUUAAUCCUGGAAUAAUGAUCCCCAGAUGAAAGCAGUACUGUGCAUAUAUCAGACCUUAUUUGUUUUUACAGAAUUUAUUUUUACACAAAAGCAGUUAUUCAUGGCCAAUUAAGGUUGAUGGAGACAGUCAUUACUGAGAACGAGGAAUGGGAAUCAAAUGACGCUAAGGAGAAAUUCUGUCAUUAAAGCAACACAUUCCUCUUAUCACUAUCACUCUCUCUGAUAGACAGGCCUUAUUCACUGUAGCCACCAGUAAUAUUCCAUUUCCAUUGACCUUUUAAAAGUGUUUAAAACACUUAACAUUCUGGGAGGGGGGCAGCUGUUUAGCUGGUAAUGGCUUUGGAUUUUAUGCCUUAUUUUAGUUUUUGUCUACUCAGUCCCCGAGGACCCCCAGAAAGUCCAUGUUUUUGCUCCCUGCCAGACAGUCCACAUUUUUGCUGCGAGGAAGCAAAAUCAUGGACUGCCUUGGGGUCCCCGAAGACUAAGGUUAGAAACAUUGAAUUAAUUGGCCUUUCUAUGCUGGUUUGACUGCCUUGUACUCUCUGCCCCAUCCACCAAAAGCUGCCAAUCCAUUAAGUUUGUCAGAGUCGCAGUUUUUUUCUUUUUAGCCGUAGCCAGGGCGAUACCAAAGAGUAAAUAUAGGUUUCCUUUAUCUCCGAAUGCUGUUUGAUGUAGCUGUAAUGAACUUGCAUAAUACAGCAAAGAUAACGGGGAGACAAGCUUUUUAAAAGACCUAUUGAAUAUUAAUUCACAUUUGGAUUAAGGUGUUGAUAAUACCCAAGAAUCCUGGAACAGUAAAGUCUGAAUUGACCAUUGUUGGGGCUUAUCAGCCUAAUUACAUGAACGGAGGGACAAUUAGAUAAAGGCAUCUACAUCAGCAGCUCGGAGGUGUGUUGGAGGCCCUCAGUAAGUUUCCGGUGUUAGCGUGAGAAAAAACAGUCGUGCCGUACAGUUAAUAUUUCAGCUAUUAAGGUUUCCCGCUCUCUUGGACUCAAGGAAUAAACAUUGGCUGAAGCUGAAGUCAGACAUAACAGAGUAUUUCAAACCACAGCCUCUACAGAACACGUUCAAAAAAUAAACAACCCGUGGAGAUGAGGAACUUAUGAUCUCCACUAAUUGUUUACAAAGACUAGGGACUCACGGUCUGUCCAACCCUCCUCAUCACUAUUAACGGUGUCCUGGAUGGAGACGGUUGUCACCUGUGUCCACAGCAACAGCUGGGGCUGAAAAUGCCCCAGGACCCCAAGGACUAGAUGGAUUCACUGGAGCGUAAUGAGAUUCUUCUUCUCAGUAUUCAUGAGUAAAGGCAAAUUAAAGGGGAUCUGGGCAAAUGGCAUAGCAUGCAAAAAACCAUCAUUGAUUUCAUUUCCUCUGGUGAUGGUGAUGAUUGUUACAUAGCAGAUUAGUAGAUUUCCGAAACAAUAAUCGCAUGAAUGCCACCUCCGUCAAGCCUUUAUCUUCUGCCACUGAGCAAACAGAGCAUUGUGCCGUUUCAGCCUUCGAGCUGGAGCAGUCAAUGUAAAUAAGACCAUUUAUUUAAUAUGUUUAGAGAUCUGUAUUUACAGCAUAGUCUUAACUAUUAAUUUGGCUGACUUCGUAUAUGGGGAGCUGGUUACGGUUUGUAAACACGCGGUUCCCUCUCAGAAGAACACCUAGUGUGCGGUCAUUUUCAACUGUUUAGACACAGAGUGAUUCAAGGCUUCCAUGUUGAUGAGAGCUCACGGAUGCUGCCCUCGUGUCGAUCGUGACAAAUCGUGCUCAUUUCUGUCACAAGGCCGCACAUCUCGCACUGUUUGCUUCAGACGUUAUCACAGUUUCCUUUCACUUAAAAAUAUAAAUGAUUUAAUCGUGAAAUGUUGCCAGAAAGUGACCACGUGAUAUUGAUUGCCAUUGUGUAAAAGAGGGCCGUACCAACUCAGGACAAUCAUCUCUCCACUUAGCUGAUCCAUGAGUCUUAUCUGCCUGCCCCAAUCACAGUUCAGGGUUAAGGUAACAUAUCUGAAGAUCCACAACAGAAUGAUGAAGGCCUGCACUUUAUCUCUUCUGAAAUAACAGGUAAUCAAAGAGACUUGUCUUAUCAUGCAUGCUAAACGUGUGCUUAGCACUCAGACCCUGAGUAAUGACCAUUGUUUAGCCGAGCACAUUGUUUCCCAAGCAGAGACCUCUGUAUACAAUCUACAGCGCGGAUCAGCGCAUUAGCCAGCCAUUAUGUGACUCUUUAAUGACCUUUCUGCUCCCAAACUCCUGGUCCUCUCAUGUAUCUAUAUCAGAGGUGGGUAGUUCAGUCACAUAGUACCUAACUGGUUGGUUGAAACAAAAUCUUGGUCUGGAUUUCUGCAUUCUGGACCUGAACUAUCCACCUGUGGUCUAUAUUCUGUGGGCCCAGCACAACACAGUCUUACCUUCUGCAUCUGCUAUGUCAACUGACACUACUGGAGGACCUGCCAGUGACCCCCCUCCCCCCUCCGUCCCUUGACCUCUGAACUCCAGCACCCGCCCCCCACUCCCUCAUCCAGCUGUGUUUGUUUCCGAAAAUCUUGCGUCUCAGUGGGACACGGGGCGUGCUUCUCCUGACGGAGCUUACCGGAGUGUGUGAAGGAAACAGCUUCUCAGUUUCUCAGCACCAACAUCCCCAGUGAAAAAGCCCCGUUCAGGUGACACAGGGCACAUUGGGAUGGGCUCCAAGUAAACACAGAGUCCUAGGCCUCCGGAACAUGAACACAGACCCCAACGGGGUCUGAGCAGUGGGGGAUUGUGGGGAUGGAUUGGUCUGAAAUGGAGUCUGACACCGAACCACAGGUGUGGAAAUAUCUCCCCAGGCUUUUUUCUGCUGUCUUCAUUGCUGUUGUCAUCGCUGAGAGCCCCUCAUGGACUGCUGUGAGCGUGAUGCCAUUAGCAUAGCAUAGAGGCAUCUCUCCUCAUUACUGUUUUAUAUCUGGGACCUAUGAAAACUCUGUAUGCACCCAUGUGGAUCGGGCGUGACUGCAGCUGAGGCAGAUCCAUUCCUAUGGAGAUGAAAAUAUUCAGAACAAAACUGGACUGCAUGUGUAAAUGAGUGCUGUGCUUGUAAUAUGUUUCUGUGUUUCUCUAUGUAUGAUAAUUGUGACAAAGAAGCUCCUCUCUUCCAACCUUUCAGCAAUUAAAUUGCACAGUGUUCAUUAGGUUGAUUUAAUGCCAAGACACACAGAUCAAACUUAACAUUAGUAUAAGAUCCUUUAUUAAGAGUGCUGUGCAGGGUUUAUUUUCAAGUAAAUUAAAAACACGUUAUAUUUUCAUACAUACUGAAGGAAAUCAUUAAUGAAGUUGCUUUUAUAUAACUUUUAUGACAAAUAUUUUCUUACCAUUACUGAUUAUUUACUUCUCUGCAUUUAUGUAAUGUCCCAUGCAUCCAUCCAUCCAUUUUCCAAACCGCUUAUUCUACUGGGUCGCGGGGGGUCCGGAACAUAUCCCAUUUAUGUUAUGUACAAAUAUUAAUUGGUACAAGUACAAUUAAUGCGCAGUGAAAGUAUACCGCUAUUACCCUAGACCGUAUUUAGCAAGGUGAUUAUUACGUUACUUCGCGUGACAUAUAAACGUAUUGAGCCUUGUUUUAAGAUACAAGUGAAAAUAUGUACGUUGUCCAUUCCAUCACAUGAAAAUAGGGACGUUAUUAAGCAAUAUUUCCCCGAUGUUUAUGUUUAUUCUGUAUAUCCAGAACCAUUUGCUGUUAGACCACCAUCUGCGUGUGACUGUUUAUCCCUGGGAAUGUCAGGAAAGCAGUUGUUUUCACGGGCAGCCUUUUGUCAUUUUUGGACAUCACCGUCUUUGACUGUGGCCUGCUUUGUAGUCAUUAUAAUCCGAGUUGUCUUUUUAUUUAUUCCACCUGCCACGCUGACCCACAAAAUGCCGGCUAAAUAAGUUUUUCUCAGUCUGACAGCGGCCAAAGGCUUCCUCGGUUUUCAGCUUCGGGUCAUGUGACAUGUCCUGUCAUCAGAAAUAAGCAUUUCUUUGCCCUUUGCUUAAAGGCAUAAACAUUUAUUUCUAGUCAGGUGUACUCUAUGUUUAGGUACGGGAUAUGGUUUGAAUUGAUCUGCAGUAGUUUAUGAGUGUCAAUCAUUAGUCAGUAUUUUUGUUUUACAUUAUCAUAAUGCAUAAUAUGCGUGCGUAACUGACCGGGAUAAAGUUAGUUUAAUAUUCACUAUUCAUCUAUAUGUAAUUUUUAACCCUAAAAACAAUGACCAUUAAUAAUGGAACUAGCUUUAUGGCACAUGAAGCAGAGUAGUCUCUAUGUUGCACAGCUGGUUAGACAUCAUGAGGUCACAUGGUUAGGGAGCAUAAUAGCUUCAUAUAUAGGUACAGUACGUGUCAUUUUUAAUUCUAAAAAAUUCUUUAACAUAUUUCAAAACGAAGCCUUGCGGUAGGCUACAUGAAGGACAUUUGUAUACUGCACAGUUGAUUUGACAUCAUCCACUAAAAUGGUU